rnacentral:rRNA from 1 species
GGGAUAUUGGGCAAUGGGGGGAACCCUGACCCAGCCAUGCCGCGUGAGGGAAGUAGGCCCUACGGGUCGUGAACCUCUUUUAUUCGGGGACAAGGGCGCGGUCGGGAACCGUGCUUGAGGGUACCGAAGGAAUAAGCGUCGGCUAACUCCGUGCCAGCAGCCGCGGUAAUACGGAGGACGCGAGCGUUAUCCGGAUUCAUUGGGUUUAAAGGGUGCGCAGGCGGCCUGGCAAGUCAGCGGUGAAAGCCCGGGGCCCAACCCCGGAAGUGCCGUUGAUACUGUCGGGCUGGAAUGCGGUCGAGGCGGGCGGAAUGUGGCGUGUAGCGGUGAAAUGCGUAGAUAUGCCACAGAACGCCGAUAGCGGAGGCAGCUCGCCAGGCCUGCAUUGACGCUCGGGCACGAAAGCGUGGGGAUCGAACA